AUUGAACGCUGGCGGCAGGCCUAACACAUGCAAGUCGAGCGGAUGAAGGGAGCUUGCUCCUGGAUUCAGCGGCGGACGGGUGAGUAAUGCCUAGGAAUCUGCCUGGUAGUGAGGGAUAACGUCCGGAAACGGGCGCUAAUACCGCAUACGUCCUGAGGGAGAAAGUGGGGGAUCUUCGUACCUCACGCUAUCAGCUUAGCCUAGGUCGGAUUAGCUAGUUGGUGGGGUAAAGGCCUACCAAGGCGACGAUCCGUAACUGGUCUGAGAGGAUGAUCAGUCACACUGGAACUGAGACACGGUCCAGACUCCUACGGGAGGCAGCAGUGGGGAAUAUUGGACAAUGGGCGAAAGCCUGAUCAAGCCAUGCCGCGUGUGUGAAGAAGGUCUUCGGAUUGUAAAGCACUUUAAGUUGGGAGGAAGGGCAGUAAGUUAAUACCUUGCUGUUUUGACGUUACCAACAGAAUAAGCACCGGCUAACUUCGUG
rnacentral:rRNA from 1 species